rnacentral:rRNA from 1 species
GACGAACGCUGGCGGCGUGCUUAACACAUGCAAGUCGAACGGAAAGGCCCUGCUUUUGUGGGGUGCUCGAGUGGCGAACGGGUGAGUAACACGUGAGUAACCUGCCCUUGACUUUGGGAUAACUUCAGGAAACUGGGGCUAAUACCGGAUAGGAGCUCCUGCUGCAUGGUGGGGGUUGGAAAGUUUCGGCGGUUGGGGAUGGACUCGCGGCUUAUCAGCUUGUUGGUGGGGUAGUGGCUUACCAAGGCUUUGACGGGUAGCCGGCCUGAGAGGGUGACCGGCCACAUUGGGACUGAGAUACGGCCCAGACUCCUACGGGAGGCAGCAGUGGGGAAUAUUGCACAAUGGGCGGAAGCCUGAUGCAGCAACGCCGCGUGCGGGAUGACGGCCUUCGGGUUGUAAACCGCUUUCGACUGUGACGAAGCGUGAGUGACGGUAAUGGGUAAAGAAGCACCGGCUAACUACGUG